rnacentral:lncRNA from 1 species
AUAAAUUUAAGAUUCAAGUAGCUCGUUAAACCUCUAACAGGAUAAAUGUAAACAAAACUGAAUGUCCCACAACUCCCUACCUUCCUACCCGCCAAUGCCCUCCUCCUCACUUAUCUGGACUCUGAAAGCAUCUGAGCUUUUGACCCUGGGGUAAGGGAAGUAGCACAUGAAUAGGAGUCAGACCUCUGGGGAUUUUAACCCUGGCUCACUGACAUGUGUGAGGGCUGGAGAAAACCAGUCUUUCUGCCUGGGCCUCAGUUCCUCACCUGAAAAAAAUCUCAGGGUUGAACUAGACAGUCUUCUAAGCCCCUUCAGCUCUAAAAUACCACCCUUUAUGAACUCUUAUGUGAAAUUUUUCUGUUCAAAAAUAAUAUUAUAUAUCAAACCCUAAUGCUAUGAAACAAAAAACUGCUUUUCUGCCAAGAGUCUUUUCAAUCCUUAUAAUGGUGCAAGUGACUGAAAUGAAGAUGGUCACAGAACAGAACCAAAAAUGGAGUUCAUAGCAACCAGAAUGGAAGUCAGCUUUCCCAGCAGCUUCCGGCAGAGCCCUGCAAGCACCAUGGGAAGCCUGGAAUUCAU